UGAGAAUCCAGAAUAUAGAGAAGAAAUUCAGCUACUGGGUAAAUAGCACAAGAGCAGAGAUUGGACCGAUCAAGGAUGAUCAGCUGAAGGUUCAUGGGUUUUCAAUGUGUGUGGCUCACUGAAGCUUAAGUGAGGAUUUCCUUGCAAUGAGUACAAUUUCUCGUGUCCCUUGUCACAAGUUUAAAGCUCUCACAGCUUUUUUUAUGUAACCAUUUUGGAUCCACUAUAAACUUGGGACUAAUAUAACUCCUUCAUGCAAUAAACUGAAAAAAAUCUAUGCAGUCUAGUCUUGAAGUUUCUCAUUUAAACAGACAUCAGGCAAUAGGUGCCUUGCAGUGUCCACCCUGAAACAAAACAAUAAUAUGAUGUUUCAGCAAAACCCAGAGCCCCAAGAUCACAGGCAUCUGUUUCUGGCCAGAAGCUCCUUAGCUCUCCCUGAGCAGAGUCCCC
rnacentral:lncRNA from 1 species